GAUAAACACUUGCGGUGUGCCUUAUGCAUGCAAGUCGAACGGUCUUGAUUUAUCAAGAUAGUGGCGAACGGGUGAGUAACGCGUAAGUAACCUGCCCUCAAGUAGGGGAUAACUCUGAGAAAUUAGAGCUAAUACCGUAUGUGGUGGUAGGGGUAAUGCCCUAUUACUAAAGCCUUAGGGCGCUUGGGGAGGGGCUUGCGUCCGAUUAGCUAGUUGGUAGGGUAACGGCUUACCAAGGCGAUGAUCGGUAGCUGGUUUGAGAGGACGGCCAGCCACACUGGGACUGAGACACGGCCCAGACUCCUACGGGAGGCAGCAGCAAGGAAUAUUGUGCAAUGGGCGAAAGCCUGACACAGCGACACCGCGUGGGGGAUGAAGGCCUUCGGGUUGUAAACCCCUUUUCUCAGGGAAGAAUAAUGACGGUACCUGAGGAAUAAGUCUCGGCUAACUACGUGCCAGCAGCCGCGGUAAGACGUAGGAGGCAAGUGUUAUCCGGAUUUACUGGGCGUAAAGAGGGCGUAGGCGGCUUUUCAAGUCGGAUGUAAAAUCUCCUGGCUUAACUAGGAGGGGUCAUUCGAUACUGUUAGGCUAGAGGGCAGCAGAGGGAGGUGGAAUUCCCGGUGUAGUGGUGAAAUGCGUAGAUAUCGGGAGGAACACCAGUGGCGAAGGCGGCCUCCUAGGCUGUUUCUGACGCUGAGGCCCGAAGGCGUGGGGAGCGAACAGGAUUAGAUACUCUGGUAGUCCACGCUGUAAACGAUGGAUACUAGGUAUGGGGGGUAUUGACCCCCUCCGUGCCGAAGCUAACGCGUUAAGUAUCCCGCCUGGGGACUACGGCCGCAAGGCUAAAACUCAAAGGAAUUGACGG
rnacentral:rRNA from 1 species